CGCCUUUUGAUUUAUUAAUAUAAAAGGUCCUGCCUGCCCAGUGACAUCAUUCAACGGCCGCGGUAUUAUGACCGUGCAAAGGUAGCGUAAUCACUUGUCCUCUAAAUAAAGACCAGUAUGAACGGCAAGACGAGAGCCUAACUGUCUCUCCACACUAGUUAAUGAAAUUGAUUUUUCCGUGCAGAAGCGGAAAUACUAUUAUAAGACGAGAAGACCCUGUGGAGCUUUAAGCCAAAACUAAUUAUUUAAUAUGAUAUAGCUAAAACUUUAGGUUGGGGCGACCGUGAGGCAAAAUAAAACCCUCAAGAUAAAACACUAGAAGGACACUUCAAACAAACAAAAAAUUGACAAAUUGACCCAAUAAUUGAUCAACGAACCAAGUUACCCCAGGGAUAACAGCGCAAUCCGCUCAUAGAGUCCUUAUCGACGAGUGGGUUUACGACCUCGAUGUUGGAUCAGGACCCCCAAAUAAUGUAACAAUUAUUAAAGGUUCGUUUGUUCAACGAUUAAAGUCCU
rnacentral:rRNA from 1 species